UGAACGCUGGCGGUAUGCUUAACACAUGCAAGUCGAACGGAAACGAUACUAGCUUGCUAGUAGGCGUCGAGUGGCGGACGGGUGAGUAACGCGUAGGAAUCUGCCUGAUAGUGGGGGAUAGCCCGAAGAAAUUCGGAUUAAUACCGCAUAAUCUAUUCGUAGUAAAGUGGGGGACUUUUAAGCCUCACGCUAUCAGAUGAGCCUGCGUAAGAUUAGCUAGUUGGUAGGGUAAAAGCCUACCAAGGCAACGAUCUUUAGCUGGUCUGAGAGGAUGAUCAGCCACAUCGGGACUGAGACACGGCCCGAACUCCUACGGGAGGCAGCAGUGGGGAAUAUUGGACAAUGGGGGCAACCCUGAUCCAGCAAUACCGCGUGUGUGAAGAAGGCCUGAGGGUUGUAAAGCACUUUCAAUUGUGAAGAAAAGUUAACGGUUAAUAACCGUUAGCCUUGACGUUAACUUUAGAAGAAGCACCGGCUAACUCCGUGCCAGCAGCCGCGGUAAUACGGAGGGUGCAAGCGUUAAUCGGAAUUACUGGGCGUAAAGCGUGCGUAGGCGGUUUAUUAAGUCAGAUGUGAAAGCCCCGGGCUUAACCUGGGAACUGCAUUUGAAACUGGUCAACUAGAGUAUGGUAGAGGAAAGUGGAAUUUCUGGUGUAGCGGUGAAAUGCGUAGAUAUCAGAAGACAUCAUUGGCGAAGGCAACUUUCUGGACCAAUACUGACGCUGAGGUACGAAAGCGUGGGUAGCAAACAGGAUUAGAUACCCUGGUAGUCACGCCGUAAACGAUGAUAACUAGCCGUUGGGGGGAUUUACCCUUUAGUGGCGAAGCUAACGCGUUAAGUUAUCCGCCUGGGGAGUACGGCCGCAAGGUUAAAACUCAAAGGAAUUGACGGGGACCCGCACAAGCGGUGGAGCAUGUGGUUUAAUUCGAUGCAACGCGAAGAACCUUACCUGGUCUUGACAUCCUGAGAACUUUCUAGAAAUAGAUUGGUGCCUUCGGGAACUCAGUGACAGGUGCUGCAUGGCUGUCGUCAGCUCGUGUCGUGAGAUGUUGGGUUAAGUCCCGUAACGAGCGCAACCCCUAUCCUUAUUUGCCAGCACAUCAUGGUGGGAACUAUAAGGAGACUGCCGGUGAUAAACCGGAGGAAGGCGGGGACGACGUCAAGUCAUCAUGGCCCUUACGACCAGGGCUACACACGUGCUACAAUGGGAAGGACAAAGAGCCGCGAAGCCGCGAGGUGUAGCUAAUCUCAGAAACCUUUUCGUAGUCCGGAUUGGAGUCUGCAACUCGACUCCAUGAAGUCGGAAUCGCUAGUAAUCGUAGAUCAGAAUGCUACGGUGAAUACGUUCCCGGGUCUUGUACACACCGC
rnacentral:rRNA from 1 species